AAACUCAAUAGAGUUAUUUUUGGUGGGACUUGGAACAAAAAAUAAUCAGCAACAACUGAACGGGCCUUUUCAGUUAUGAAGAUUAUUAAAACAAGGCUUCGAAACAAGAUGGAAGAUGAAUUUUUAGCAGAUUGUAUGAUUGUAUAUAUUGAAAAGGAAAUUGCUUCAAAAUUCACUUCAGAGAUGAUAAUUGAUGAUUUUAGUUCCAUGAAGCAUCGUCGAGCAAGUUUAAAAAUAUCAAAAUCUUAAAG